UCCCUUGUGGCUCAGCUGGUAAAGAAUCUGCCUGGAAUGCAGGAGACCUGGGUUUGAUCCCUGGUUUGGGAA
rnacentral:tRNA from 1 species